UAGUUACAUGCUUGUCUCAAAGAUUCAUCCAUGCAUGUCUAAGUAUAAAUGAUUUUACAGUGAAACUGCAAAUGGCUCAUUAAAUCAGUUAUAAUUUACUUGACUUUUAACUUACUACUUGGAUACCUGUGGUAAUUCUAGAGCUAAUACAUGCGUUAAAGCCUGACUUCUGGAAGGGCUGUAUUUAUUAAAUAAAAAACCAAUGCAGCAAUGCUUUUUUGGUGAAUCAUAGUAACUUGUCAAAUCGUAUGGCCUUGUGCCGGCAAUGCGUCAUUCAAAUUUCUGCCCUAUCAACUUUCGAUGGUAGGAUAAAGGCCUACCAUGGUUUUAACGGGUAACGAAAAAUUAGGGUUUGAUUCCGGAGAGGGAGCCUGAAAAACGGCUACCACUUCUACGGAAGGCAGCAGGCGCGCAAAUUACCCAAUGGUGACACACCGAGGUAGUGACAAUAAAUAACAAUGCGAGCCCUCUUGGGUUUGCAAUUGGAAUGAAAACAACUUAAUAAACUUAUCGAGUAACAAUU
rnacentral:rRNA from 1 species